rnacentral:lncRNA from 1 species
CUCAAAACAUUUUAAACCCUAAACCCCCAAUUUCUUAAACAUUCUAGUUAUUCUUCGCAAACUCUUCAACCAUAUUUAGGGAAACAAGGAAUGGAAACAUUGCGGGAAAGCACGAAAUUCAAAGGAAUUUUGAUUCUAUAUUAAAGUUUAAGGGUUCGUAAAUUAAAAUUUUUAAUGUUCCAUUAAAUUGUUUGCUUAGUAUUUUAUUAGGAUAUCAUGCUUCCUAGAAAAGUUAGAAAAACCAAUGAAUCUAAACCAUCGACGGAUCUA